AGAGACUCAGAGAUAGCAAUGGGAGGCUAUCAACCAUAUCACCUCUCAGUAAGACAACCAGCUCGUGGUCAAAUCCAUGGUUUCCGCAUGUCGUUAUGGUAUGAACAUUUAGGAAUGCUCGAUGAAACUUUCCUGGAUCCAUCGAGCCAAGAAUGUGUCAAGAAAGUUAACCGUGUUGCCGAUAAGUAUUGGGAUCUUUACUCUAGUGAGUCACUUGAACAUGACCUUCCUGGUCAUCUACUUCGCUACCCCAUCGGUAUUGCUAGUCAAGGAGACAUCACUGAGCUUCCUGGAUGUGAAUGCUUUCCCGACACAAAAGCUCGUAUCCUUGGUACUAAAUCUGAUUACAUGCCUCCCAUUCUUACAACCUAAGCUAUGUGGCAAUGUCUAGAGGUAAUAAAUAACUCUCUCUCUCUCCUCUUUAUUCUGCUGCAAUAGCUUUAGUAAUAUAAAAACAAUUGUCUAGUAAUUAAUAAGCUAUAUUAUCCUUAAUUGGUAUGAUGUCUCACCGCUAUGCGUUACUUCUUUUUUUUCAUUCAGACAUUAAGGUUUUGGAGAGAUUGUUGUCUUUUUGUUACUUAUGUUGAUGUUAAUUACUUAUGAACUUAUCUAUUAUAUUUAAUUUCUCUUUAAUUAUUGUUUUACUGAAGUCAGCAUCUAUACAUGUUUAGUGUUUGGUUGAAUAUCAGUUGCUUAUUGAUCAAUAUGGCUCGUUUGAAAAUUAAUAUAUGGCCUCAAUAAUAAGAUUUACCUUCAGAUUUAAGUCUUUCUAUUUAUCAUCUUGAGGCACACCUAAUCUAUAUCUGUUAAAAAUCAUAUUUGAAACUGACAUGUACAUUAGCUUUUAAGUGUUCAUAUAUGAGGAUUCACUCCAAAUUAGUUAAUUCAUUUCUACGUUAGGAAUGCUCGAUGAAACUUUCCUGGAUCCAUCGAGCCAAGAAUGUGUCAAGAAAGUUAACCGUGUUGCCGAUAAGUAUUGGGAUCUUUACUCUAGUGAGUCACUUGAACAUGACCUUCCUGGUCAUCUACUUCGCUACCCCAUCGGUAUUGCUAGUCAAGGAGACAUCACUGAGCUUCCUGGAUGUGAAUGCUUUCCCGACACAAAAGCUCGUAUCCUUGGUACUAAAUCUGAUUACAUGCCUCCCAUUCUUACAACCUAAGCUAUGUGGCAAUGUCUAGAGGUAAUAAAUAACUCUCUCUCUCUCCUCUUUAUUCUGCUGCAAUAGCUUUAGUAAUAUAAAAACAAUUGUCUAGUAAUUAAUAAGCUAUAUUAUCCUUAAUUGGUAUGAUGUCUCACCGCUAUGCGUUACUUCUUUUUUUUCAUUCAGACAUUAAGGUUUUGGAGAGAUUGUUGUCUUUUUGUUACUUAUGUUGAUGUUAAUUACUUAUGAACUUAUCUAUUAUAUUUAAUUUCUCUUUAAUUAUUGUUUUACUGAAGUCAGCAUCUAUACAUGUUUAGUGUUUGGUUGAAUAUCAGUUGCUUAUUGAUCAAUAUGGCUCGUUUGAAAAUUAAUAUAUGGCCUCAAUAAUAAGAUUUACCUUCAGAUUUAAGUCUUUCUAUUUAUCAUCUUGAGGCACACCUAAUCUAUAUCUGUUAAAAAUCAUAUUUGAAACUGACAUGUACAUUAGCUUUUAAGUGUUCAUAUAUGAGGAUUCACUCCAAAUUAGUUAAUUCAUUUCUACGCUUAUACAAAUCAUGCAUGAUCUUAAUCAGUACCAGUCUACAAAAGGUGGUCUAAAAUCACUAAUUACAACCGCAUAGCAAACACAUAUAUAUGUUAAAUGGAUUGGGUCAUUUCUGGCAGGAUUUGUACUGUAUGAAUUAGAUUGUAGUUGAUUAAGAAUUUUACCAAAACCUCAAAGAAUCAAAUCCGUUCUUGUCAUAACUAGAUUACGAGAGUUCACAAUUUUUUUGACCAUACCAGGUGUGAAUAAAAAUGAAGGAAAUAAUUUAGUAAGGUGUGCCGUGUGCGGUUGAUUUUGUUUUGGACAUAAAAGUCAGUCAACACAUAUGUCAAUCUCUUUCUUUCGUUAGGUCCUCCCAAAACAAACUCUUGUGAUGUCUCUCUUUGAAGUAGUUAAUAUCCUAUAAACAAGUUGCACAGUACGAUGAUGAUAGAUGCUAAAAUCUUAUAUCUUUUAUUUUUGUGAACUUAAAAUCUUAUAUCUUGCUAAAUCUGUUUGUUAUACGUAAUACGAAACAGCACAAAAAAAAUUUCAAGACUCUCAUGCUAUCAUGGCUGAGGCAUGACUAGGAAUCCUUUUGUAAAAUGAGCUUCACCUUGUUUUUAUUCUUUUUGCCGAGGUGAACCUCUUCUAGUUUUUAAUUUUUGUAAAGUUUACAAAACAAUUUCAUAUUUAUAUGAUAUUCAAAUAUUUGGCAAAAAAAAAAAACUAGAU
rnacentral:lncRNA from 1 species